AUUGUACUCCCUCCGUCCGGAAAUACUUGUCAUCAAAAUGGAUAAAAGGGGAUGUAUCACUUGUCAUCAAAAUAGAUGAAAAGAGAACUAAAAUACAUCUAGAUACAUCCCCUUUUAUCCAUUUUGAUGACAAGUAUUUCCGGACGGAGGGAGUAGAAC
rfam:Triticum aestivum genome assembly, contig: Triticum_aestivum_CS42_TGACv1_scaffold_049770_1BS